ACCAUCAUCAUGAUGAUUCCCAAAUAUGUCCAUAGGAGAAACGAUGCCUCUCAUUUCGUGAUCCGUGCCCAAAUUUUGGCCCUUGAUAGACCUAACGGGAAGCUCAUCCAACAACUGCUGCAUCAAAAGCCUGACAUCUCCAGGAACCUUAACACACCUAGGGGCAGAACCUUUACGACCCGAGAGAUGCUCCUUCAACCGAUAAAUACCACCACCCUUAAAUAUCUUGCUGCAAUACUUGCACCGAAUCUGCACCCUAUCGUUGUUCCUCAGCGCAUCACAAUGCAUCCACGCCAAGUCUUUUUUCCUC
rnacentral:lncRNA from 1 species